UACGGAGGGUGCAAGCGUUAUCCGGAUUCACUGGGUUAAAGGGUGCGUAGGUGGGGAGGUAAGUCAGCGGUGAAAUCCCCGAGCUUAACUUGGGAACUGCCAUUGAUACUAUCUCUCUUGAAUACCUUGGAGGUGAGCGGAAUAUGUCAUGGUAGCGGUGAAAUGCGUUAGAUAUGACAUAGAACACCAAUUGGCGAAAGG
rnacentral:rRNA from 1 species